AUUGUGCCGAACGUUAUACACAGAUCCUCCUCCGUAUGAUCCUUAGUUCAGGAUCAUAAACUCUUGAUAAAUUACUGCCCCAGGAACCUCCAGUGACAUCAACCGCUGCUACCAUUUGUGGAAUUCUGCCGGCCAGACACCCCACACUGCAUUCCCUCACAACUGAUCCUCCCGAUAGCCCAUGGGGUAGGCACUGUUAUUUCCAUUCACAGAUAAGCAAAGUGAGGCUCGGAGGGCGGGGACUUGCCCAAAGCCACAAGGAUGAAAGCUGGCAUAUCCGAAUGGGCUGAGCUACCGGAUUAAGAGGGACACCCCAAAGCCCCCAUUGCUGGGUUAUUGCUCCAGAGCCAAUGUUCUUGGGGAAAGGAAGAUAUGCCCUUUGUCAACAUUGCCACUGCUGGUCUGUAAACUCCUAGACGGCCAGCUGGUGGUUCACAAACCAGGACUCCUUGCUCUGGCCCUACCCCUACCUACCAGAAUGACCGUG
rnacentral:lncRNA from 1 species